rnacentral:lncRNA from 1 species
GUUAGUUUUGCACCUUACUCAGCUGCUAAUCCCUUGACAGCCUAGAACUGCUUUACUCAUCCUCCUUGUACGUGGAACUGACAUAACCUACCAUUGUUCCAGUUUUUAAAAUGCACAGUUGAAAAGCCUUAAGUGUUUAUGGUGUGGGCAGCUCUCAUGGGUUGGGAGCCAGAACCUGAAGGUAUGCAGCUAACUUGAAAUGCAGCUCAAGGUACUCCUGUUGACACCUGCGCCGGGUCCCCGUUAAAAACAAAAAAACCAUCUUUCUAAUCAAAGGUAGGCCAGAGACUCAUUCAAAUUGACCUGCACAAUGGCAGUUGGUGGGCAUCACUACCUGGU